UGGAGAGUUUGAUCCUGGCUCAGAUUGAACGCCGGCGGCAUGCCUUACACAUGCAAGUCGAACGGCAGCAUAGGAGCUUGCUCCUGAUGGCGAGUGGCGAACGGGUGAGUAAUAUAUCGGAACGUGCCCUAGAGUGGGGGAUAACUAGUCGAAAGACUAGCUAAUACCGCAUACGAUCUACGGAUGAAAGUGGGGGAUCGCAAAACCUCAUGCUCCUGGAGCGGCCGAUAUCUGAUUAGCUAGUUGGUGGUGUAAAAGCCUACCAAGGCAACGAUCAGUAGCUGGUCUGAGAGGACGACCAGCCACACUGGGACUGAGACACGGCCCAGAAUCCUACGGGAGGCAGCAGUGGGGAAUUUUGGACAAUGGGGGCAACCCUGAUCCAGCAAUGCCGCGUGAGUGAAGAAGGCCUUCGGGUUGUAAAGCUCUUUUGUCAGGGAAAGAAACGGUAGUAGCGAAUAACUAUUACUAAUGACGGUACCUGAAGAAUAAGCACCGGCUAACUACGUGCCAGCAGCCGCGGUAAUACGUAGGGUGCAAGCGUUAAUCGGAAUUACUGGGCGUAAAGCGCACGCAGG
rnacentral:rRNA from 1 species